UACGGAGGAUGCGAGCGUUAUCCGGAUUCAUUGGGUUUAAAGGGUGCGUAGGCGGUUUUUUAAGUCAGUGGUGAAAUCCUGCGGCUCAACCGUAGAACUGCCAUUGAAACUGAGGAACUUGAAUAUAAUUGAGGUAGGCGGAAUGAGUAGUGUAGCGGUGAAAUGCUUAGAUAUUACUCAGAACACCAAUUGCGAAGGCAGCUUGCCAAGCUAUAAUUGACGCUGAGGCACGAAAGCGUGGGGAUCGAACAGG
rnacentral:rRNA from 1 species